UGUUCGAUUCCGGAGAAGGAGCAUGAGAAACGGCUACUUAACAACUACGGUUCGGCAGCAGGGAAGAAAAUUGGCCAAUCCUAAUUCAGGGAGCCAGUGACAAGAAAUAGCAAGCUGGGAAACCUAGUUUCUACGGCAUUGAAAUGAGAAAAGUGUUAAUCUCUUAGCGAGGAACAAUUGGAGGGCAAGUCUGGUGCCAGCAG
rnacentral:rRNA from 1 species